rfam:Gossypium hirsutum cultivar TM-1 chromosome 23, whole genome shotgun sequence
AUCACAUGAUGAGCGCACUUACGAAGCAAUUCCUUGUAUCUUUUUCAUGCCUCGUAUAAGGACUAAUCAUCCAAUUGUUGGAAAGUAGUUAUCUCAUUUGUUAACUU